AGCAAACAACUAGCAGUCCGCAGCAGGUGAGACCCACCAGAAAGCCUCCCAAAAGAGAAACCAGCCACUAGCAGCACAGUGCAGAAAAGGGGAUGCUAGUUUGAAACAGCAAAAGAAAAAGAUCCCUGCAGCUCGAUCUUCAUAAUAAGGAAAGGCCUGGGCUACCUAAUCUUUAUCCUUCUUCUGACUCUGUUUUUGAAUUUCUGAACCUUGCCACCAUGCCUUCAUGUUUUCUUCGUGAUACAAGGACAACCAAAUCUAUGGGUUUACUGCUACUCACUUUUGGACAGGUGAUAUAAUAUAUUGUGUCAUCAUCACUCACCCAAUCUAUGACCUUACAAGACCUGAUGUAAGGUUUAGAGCAAAGAAGUGAUCAGAAGAUAAAUCAGAAUAGUAUUACCUCAUAAGAAACACAGCAGCAACAGAUUCAGAGAAACAAGGGAAGACUUGUACAAAAUGAUGCAGAGUGAAGUGAGCAGAAGAACAAUUUAUAUGACUACAUUGUAAGGAAAAAUAACUUGGAAAAAAUAAAGAAUUGUGAGCAAUGAGAUAAUUGAUCACAAGCUCCAGAAGACUAAUGGUGGUAAUGAGGUAAUGGAGGCAGUGACUGUAAUAUCCUUUUUAAAAGUUUGGCUUUUAAGAGAAGAAGAAAAAUAGAUCAGUGAUAAUUCAAACUGCUGGAAGCAUUAAAAGAAGAAAAUUUUUAAGGACUGGAACAUAUGAGCAUCUUUCUAGACAGAGGAGAAAUAACCAGUGAAGAUGGAGAAAUUUAGAUGUAGAAGACCUGAAUAUUAAAGAUCAGACAGUAAAAAUUAAAAGGGAAGGAGAUUACAUAUCUUUUGCAACUUUGGAUAGGAAGUGUAUUCUUAAUCAAAUAGAGGAUAGAAGCAACUACAUAAGAUAAAAUAGAUAAUUUACAUUACAUUACACUGAAAAUGCACAAAUAAAAUUAAUGUACUAGGAUUAUAAGCAAAGCAGACAAAUGUAAAAAAAUCUAUCAGAUUUCUCAGAUGAGUUAGUAUCCAGAAUAUAUGGAUAUCUAACAGACUUAUAAAACCAAAAGUCAUCUUCCCCAUUGACAAUAAUAAAAUGAUAUGAACAAACAGUUCU